GACAGAGGGGGCAAGCGUUGCUCGGAAUUACUGGGCGUAAAGGGCGCGUAGGUGGGAUGGCAAGUCGGUCGUGAAAUACCUCGGCUCAACUGAGGAGCGUCGAUCGAAACUGCCGUUCUUGAGGGUUGCAGAGGAGAAUGGAAUUCCUGGUGUAGCGGUGAAAUGCGCAGAUAUCAGGAGGAACACCGGUGGCGAAGGCGGUUCUCUGGGCCUUACCUGACACUGAGGAGCGAAAGCGUGGGGAGCGAACAGG
rnacentral:rRNA from 1 species